GCCAGGUGUGGUGUCGCACACCUGUAGUCCCAGCUACUCAGGAGGCUGAGGUGGGAGGAUCCCUUGAGCCCAGGAGGUUGAGGCUGCAGUGAGAAGUGAUUGCACCACUGCACUCCAGCCUGGGCAACAGAGCAAGACUCAUCUCAA
ensembl:misc_RNA Metazoa_SRP Metazoan signal recognition particle RNA